rnacentral:piRNA from 1 species
UGCAGGUGGUCUGAUGACCUCAUAUUAUUA